UACGUAGGGUGCGAGCGUUGUCCGGAAUUAUUGGGCGUAAAGAGCUCGUAGGCGGUGUGUCACGUCGGCCGUGAAAACCUGCAGCUUAACUGUGGGCGUGCGGUCGAUACGGGCAUCACUGGAGUUCGGCAGGGGAGACUGGAAUUUACGGUGUAGCGGUGAAAUGCGUAGAUAUCGUAAGGAAGACCAGUGGCGAAGGCGGGUCUCGUGGACAGUUCCUGACGCUGAGGCACGAAGGCCAGGGGAGCAAACGGG
rnacentral:rRNA from 1 species